CCUACGGGAGGCAGCAGUAGGGAAUAUUGCUCAAUGGGGGAAACCCUGAAGCAGCAACGCCGCGUGGAGGAUGAAGGUUUUCGGAUCGUAAACUCCUUUUGUUAGAGAAGAUAAUGACGGUAUCUAAAGAAUAAGCACUGGGUAAAUCCGUGCCAGCAACCGCGGUCAUACGGAGGGUGCAAGCGUUAGUCGGGAUCACUGGGCGAAAAGAGCGCGUAGGUGGGAUGGCAAGUCAGAUGUGAAAUCCUAUGGGUUAACCAUAGAACUGAAUUUGAAACUGUAAAUCUAGAGUGUGGGAGAGGUAGGUGGAAUUCUUGGUGUAGGGGUAAAAUCCGUAGAGAUCAGGAGGAAUACUCAUGGCGAAGGCGACCUGCUGGAACAUAACUGACGCGGAGGCGCGAAAGCGUGGGGAGCAAACAGGAUUAGAUACCCGAGUAGUC
rnacentral:rRNA from 1 species